UUUUGUCUGGGGGUCCUUGCCCCCCCACUGUUGGCACCUCCCAACACACUGCCACGUGGGGGUGGAGGUGGCAGCCCCCAUGAGACCCAGCCCCAGCUCAGCCCCUCACAGGCAAGAUGUCAGCCCCACCCAGGUUGGUCGGUCUCUCUCUCUCUGUCUCUCCCACCCCCCUCUCUACCCCCGUCCCUUGCCUGAAACCCCUGAUCCUGCUCUCCUCUGCCUCCGCCGCCCCCACCUGCCUUUUUUAGACAAAACCAGGGGUGAUCCAGCCAUUGGCUCAGGCCUGGCCAAGGGGCUCCCCAGCCCCCAGGGCCAGAGGUUGUCCCCACUCCGUGAGUGCUCUGUCCCGUGGGUGGGGGUGGCAGAGCCUCCUUCCCCAGCAGGAUGGUGGGUGGGGAUCAAAGGCAGGCGGGGGGACAGGCGGGGGGACAGCUGGUGGUGAGUUGCACACAGCUGCAGCCCCGACAGCUGCCCCAGCAUAGCUCACGAGAGCCCCACCCCCCAGCCGCCCUCCCCGCCUUCCCCGGAUGAGCUGCCCGCCAAUGUGAAGCAGGCCUACAGGGCCUUCGCGGCCGUGCCCACUUCUCACCCGCCUGAGGAUGCCCCUGCCCAGCCCCCCACGCCUGGGCCUGCAGCCUCCCCGGAGCAGCUGUCCUUCCGGGAGCGGCAGAAGUACUUUGAGCUGGAGGUGCGCGUGCCCCAGGCCGAGGGCCCCCCUAAGCGCGUGUCCCUGGUGGGUGCUGACGACCUGCGGAAGAUGCAGGAGGAGGAAGGUGAGGGGCACGGAAGUGGGGUGGGGGUUGGGUCUCGGCUGGCCUGGCCUGACCCACCCUGCCCUCCGGCAGCCAGAAAACUACAGCAGAAGAGAGCGCAGAUGCUGCGGGAGGCGGCAGAGGCUGGGGCCGAAGCGAGGCUCGCCCUGGACGGGGAGACGCUGGGUGAGGAGGAACAGGAGGAUGAGCAGCCACCCUGGGCCAGCCCGAGCCCCACCUCAAGAGCCCAGCGUCCCCCCCACCCCCGGGAGGCGGCGCCCCGGUGCGGACGGCCAAAGCUGAACGGCGCCACCAGGAGCGGCUGCGCGUGCAGAGUCCGGAGCCACCGGCACCCGAGCGUGCCCUGUCCCCUGCCGAGCGCCGGGCCCUGGAGGCCGAGAAGCGUGCGCUGUGGAGGGCAGCCAGGAUGAAGUCAUUGGAACAGGACGCUCUCCGAGCACAGAUGGUCCUCAGCAGGUCCCAGGAAGGCCGGGGCACGCGGGGGCCCCUGGAGCGACUGGCCGAGGCCCCUUCCCCUGCGCCCACCCCGUCGCCCACCCCUGUGGAAGUCACCGGACUUUGCUGAGGAGUUGAGGUCCCUGGAACCAUCUCCCAGCCCUGGUGAGUUGGGGCCGGGCUGGGGUGAGCUCCCAGGAGCCCAGCUGCCCUCAGCUCACUGCCCACCUGUCCCUGCCCUCCAGGCCCGCAGGAGGAGGAUGGAGAAGUGGCUCUGGUGCUUCUGGGCAGGCCCUCACCCGGCGCUGUGGGCCCUGAAGAUGUGGCACUGUGCAGCAGCCGCCGCCCCGUAAGGCCUGGGCGCCGUGGCCUGGGCCCUGUGCCCUCCUAGAGGAGCAGGCACCUCCCCCAGACUUGGGGUGGGGGCCCUGCCAGCUCCAGCACCACCCUUGCCCCAAGUCUUUUAACCUGGGUGUUAGCAUUUUAAAGAGACCCCACAGGAGUUCUGGCCUGUGACUAACUAACUGCCCCACCCCAGCCGAGACCUCGGCGAGACUGUAACUAGUGAUGUUUGUACAACCAAAGACUCUAUUUUGUGGUUUAAGGAGAAUAAAGUUGACUACAUUUUA
rnacentral:sRNA from 1 species